UACGGUCCUACCAUAUUGAAACACCGGUUCUCGUACGAUCACCGAAGUUAAGCAACAUCUAACCUGGUCAGUACCUAGAUGGGUGACUCCUUGGGAAUGCCAGGUGCUGUAA